rnacentral:rRNA from 1 species
UACAGAGGUGGCAAGCGUUGUUCGGAAUUACUGGGCGUAAAGGGCGCGUAGGCGGUCUUGUCAGUCCCUUGUGAAAUCCCCCGGCUCAACUGGGGAACUGCAAGGGAAACAGCAGGGCUUGAGUUCGGGAGAGGGAAGCGGAAUUCCGGGUGUAGCGGUGAAAUGCGUAGAUAUCCGGAGGAACACCGGUGGCGAAGGCGGCUUCCUGGACCGAUACUGACGCUGAGGCGCGAAAGCUAGGGGAGCAACGGG